rnacentral:rRNA from 1 species
AUGGAGUCGGAGGGGCAGGACAGGCCGCCGGGCGAGCGGGACGCGCACGCGCACGCCGGCGGGGUGGUCGAGGGCCGCGGCCGCCGGAUCCGCAUGCCGGCCGCCUGCGCCGCCAGGAUCUUCCAGCUCACCCGCGAGCUAGGGCACAAGUCGGACGGCGAGACCGUGCGCUGGCUGCUGCAGCAGUCCGAGCCGGCCAUAGUCGCCGCCACGGGGACCGGCACCGUGCCCGCCAUCGCCACCACCGUCGACGGCGUGCUCCGGAUCCCCACCCAGUCCUCCUCCUCCGCCUCCUCCGCCGUCGUCGACGACGAGGCCUCCGCCAAGCGCCGCCGCAAGCUGCAGCCCACGCGCGCCGCCGGCCCGCUCCCCACCGUGCCGCCCACCGCCGCCUACUACUCCGUCCUCGCCGACCCCCUCCUGCAGGGCGGCGCCGGGGGCGCGGCCAUUUCCGUCGCCAGCGGCCUCGCUCCCAUCGGCGGCCAGCAGGGCCUCGUCCCCGUCUUCGCCGUGCCGUCCGCCGCUGCGGCCGCCGGAGGCAACCACAUGAUCCCGCAGGCCACCGCCGUGUGGAUGGUCCCGCAGCCGGCCGGCGCCCCCAACCAGCCCACCCAGUACUGGGCUUUCCAGUCCGCGCCACAGCUCAUCAACCUCGCCGGCGCGCAGACCAUGCCGGCUGGAGCUGUCUUCCCCAACGUUGCCGCCGACUACCAUCAACAGCGGCAGUCUGCCUCUACCGUGGUCCAGAACACCAACUCGGACCACCAGCAGUUCAGCCACCAUCUCACCGGCGCCGAGUCGCACGAGCAGCAGCGCCGUGACCACCACCCGGAGGAGGACGACGCCGAUGACGACGACGAGCCAGUCUCCGACUCCAGCCCAGAAGACUAA